rnacentral:lncRNA from 1 species
CAGCAAUCUUUCUGCCUCAGGCUACCGAGUGCUGGUAUUGCUAACACACUUGUGCAUGGUUCUGGCUUGUUUUAAUUUUAAUUUAAUUUAAUUUAAUAUGUAUGGGUGUUUUUUUUUUUCAGGCAUGUAUGUCUAUGCGCCACCUGCAUGCUUAGUGCCUUCAGAGGUCAGAAGAGGAUGUUGUAUUUCCUGGAAAUAUAGUUACAGACUUUGUGAGCCACUAUGUGGGAGCUGGGAAUUGAGCCCACAAACUCUAGAAGUGCAGCCAGUGCUUCUAACUGCUGAGCCUCUCUCCAGCCCCUGUCCUGAAGUUCAGCUCCUUUUUGGGGAGGAUGAAAUCUGCCUAAAUUUGAGGUCACAGGAAAAUGGAGAUGCUACCGAGUCUUUAGGAGAUUUACACAGUAUUUAGAAAGCGCUAGUCAAAAAUGGUGGUGUCACUCCGGGGAGCCUUAGCUUACCAGGGGACCCCUGAGUGAACCACACGGAGCUGGGAUCAAUGCAAAAAGCAAGAGGAAUUUAUUGUUUCAGUGCACUGGGGUCGUCCCAGACCCGAAGGAGAGGCGGUGACCCCCAGUACCCAUUCGGUGAGAUUUUAUAUGGUUUCCAGGGGCAGAAUAGAGCAUCAGCAACUAAGCACAAUAUGAUUGGCGGAACAGUACACCCUUAAAACUGAUUGGUCUUUAGGGAAUGAGGUGACAAUGACUUCCCUUGUCUGAAGAUGAGCAAUGGUCAGUCCUGUGGAAUGUGUCCCCACCCACAGGUCUGUUCCUGCCUCGUGGUCUGAGAAAUGUUAAUUAUCGUCUCCCUUCCGAAGGGGCAAGUGUUUCAUGACCUUCCCAAAGUUCCUAAGCUGACCUUUUCAGUGGAUAGUGAAUACUCUAAUGGCCAGUGAUCCCCUUAUUAGGUCUUUCCCUAGCAGCCCCACUGGCUCACGGUGAGGUUGGCCAUUACUCUAGCUCUCCUAAGGCAAUUCUGGGGAAAGUCUGUAAUUCCGAAGUUCCUGGGUCUACGACAGACUGAACCUGCAGUUAUCUAACUCAAGGGUGGGAACAGCAAGAGUAGAGACCUGCUGACUCAGAGUGUGCUAGUGCCUCAUGGAUGACGGUGGUGGGGAGUAAGGCAGGCAGCAAGGGUGGGAGGGACUGGAAAGAAUGGUGCUAAAGGCCACUAAGGAAAACCUUCAGGCAGAGUCUGCUUAGGUGGCAGUAAUGUCCAGGCGUUCCAGGCGUGCUGGGCUGAUCAUUUGUCGAGGAACCACCUCUAGGAAGAUAGGAGCACUUAAAUCUUGCUAAAGGAUAGAUAAAAAAUUAGUCGCUUACUAAGACACUGUGCCUUCCACUCUAUCCUGUUGUAAAGAACACGCGUCUCUCUCACAAUAGCUCAGUCAUGUAGCUUUGUAAACCUACCCCUUCUCUGGGGUAUUUUUUUUUUCUCCUAACAUGCUUUCCCUAACAAGUUUAGCUUCCUUAUUCUUUCUCUAAAACAUUUCCUCCACCAUGUGGUUGCUUGACUAUCAAGUGCUUGACUUCUAUGCCAGCUUCCAAGCUUGGCUCUCUCCUUCUUGCCUCUACUCCUGGCCUCUGGGCAGCCAGUGAAGUUUAUAGUUGGCCUGCCCUGAAGUUUUUCUGUUAAAUUCUAAUAAAAUUGUCUUUGAGCUGCCAUUUGAGUCCUCUUUUUUUUUUUUUAAUUAUUUAUUUAAUUUAGGUAUAUGAGUACACUGUAGCUGACUUCAGACACACCAGGAGAGGGCAUCUGCUCUCAUUACAGAUGGUUGUGAACCACCACCAUGUAGUUGCUGGGAUUUGAACUCAGGACUUCUGGAAGAGCAGUCAGUGUCAGAGUCCAUCUUUUUUUUUUUUUUUUUUUUUUUUUUUUUUUUGGUUUUCUAAGACAGGGUUUCUCUGUAUAGCUCUGGCUGUCCUGGAACUCACUUUGUAGACCAGUCCUUGAACUCAGAAAUCCGCCUGCCUCUGCCUCCUAGGUGCUGGGAUUAAAGGCAUGCGCUACCACUGCCCGGCCUCCCAGAGUCCAUUCUUAAUUUAAAAAAAAAAUUACUUUAUUUUGGGGCAAGAGGGAUGGCUCAGCACUUAAGAACACUGGCUGCUUGGUCAUAGGAUCCCUAUUCAAUUCCCAGCAUCCACAAGGCAACCCAUAACUGUCUGUAAAUCCUAUCUCAAGGGGUCCAAAACCCUCCUCUGGCCUCUGUUGAUACUGCAUCCAUGUAGUGCAGAGACAUACAUCACACAAAGAGUCACAGACAUAAAAUAAGAAUAGAAAAGCCCUUCAAAACAAAAGUUUCUUUUAUGCCUAUAUGUG